rnacentral:rRNA from 1 species
GAGGAACCCGAAAGAUCGAAUGGGGAGAUUCAGCGUCAGCGGCGUCCGGUGUCGUCGUCGUGCACUUCUUCUCUAGUAGAACGUCGCGACCCGUUGGGUGCCGGUCACGCGUCAGACCCUCGGUCGCCCGGCCGGCUGCCCGGCGGUCGAACAUAAGGUAUCUUGCCGCAAUUGAACUGCGUCGGGCCCGCCGCAAGCGCGGUCAGGGACCCGGUGCCGGCACCGAGCCUGACCAGCUGUUGGCAGGCGGAGUCCUCGGACGGGCAAUACACAAUAAUACCGGUCUGCGACGCUACUGCUUUGGGUACUCUCAGGACCCGUCUUGAAACACGGACCAAGGAGUCUAACAUGUGCGCGAGUCAUUGGGACUGCAAGCCUAAAGGCGUAAUGAAAGUGAAGGUCGCCGACCGAGGGAGGAUGGGCCGCGUUAAGACGCGGCUCCGCACUCCCGGGGCGUCUCGUUCUCAUUGCGAGAAGAGGCGCACCCAGAGCGUACACGUUGGGACCCGAAAGAUGGUGAACUAUGCCUGGUCAGGACGAAGUCAGGGGAAACCCUGAUGGAGGUCCGUAGCGAUUCUGACGUGCAAAUCGAUCGUCGGAACUGGGUAUAGGGGCGAAAGACUAAUCGAACCAUCUAGUAGCUGGUUCCCUCCGAAGUUUCCCUCAGGAUAGCUGGCACUCGCCCGUUCUCAUUAAACGAGUCUCAUCUGGUAAAGCGAAUGAUUAGAGGCCUUGGGGCCGAAACGACCUCAACCUAUUCUCAAACUUUAAAUGGGUGAGAUCUCUGGCUUGCUUGAAUUAUGAAGCCAUGAGAUCGGAUCAGAGUGCCAAGUGGGCCAAUUUUGGUAAGCAGAAUGGGCGGCUGUGGA